UGUGCCAAGGAAAACCGAAYGAAGCGUCCGCCCCCGGCAUCCCGUUCGCGGAGCGUGCCGCGGGAUCGGGCGUCUAUCAAAUGUCAAAACGACUCUCGGCAACGGAUAUCUCGGCUCUCGCAUCGAUGAAGAACGUAGCGAAAUGCGAUACUUGGUGUGAAUUGCAGAAUCCCGUGAACCAUCGAGUCUUUGAACGCAAGUUGCGCCCGAAGCCAUUAGGCCGAGGGCACGUCUGCCUGGGCGUCACGC
rnacentral:rRNA from 1 species